rnacentral:rRNA from 1 species
GCUGGGGUAGCUAUAAAAUAUUAAUCUUCUUAACUUUAUUUAUAUAAAUGACCCAAUUCAAUUGAUUAUUUGAACAAGUUACCAUAGGGAUAACAGCGUAAUAUUUUUUAAAAGUUCUUAUUUAAAAAAAUGAUUGCGACCUCGAUGUUGAAUUAAUGUAACUUUAUUGAUGAAGUAAUCAUAAAAGUUGGUCUGUUCGACCAUUAAAACAUUACGUGAUCUG